rnacentral:rRNA from 2 species
UACGGAGGGUGCGAGCGUUGUUCGGAAUCACUGGGCGUAAAGCGCGUGUAGGCGGCCCACUAAGUCUGAUGUGAAAGCCCGGGGCUCACCCCCGGAAGUGCAUUGGAAACUGGUGGACUCGAGUCCCGGAGAGGAGAGUGGAAUUCCUGGUGUAGCGGUGAAAUGCGUAGAUAUCAGGAGGAACACCGGUGGCGAAGGCGGCUCUCUGGACGGUGACUGACGCUGAGACGCGAAAGCGUGGGGAGCAAACAGG